AUGAGUAUGCUCAGUCUUCAGAAGAGGCUUGCCUCUAGUGUCCUCCGCUGUGGCAAGAAGAAGGUCUGGUUGGACCCCAAGGAGACCAGUGAAAUCGCCAAUGCCAACUCCCAUCAGUGGAUCCGAAAGCUGAUCAAAGAUGGGCUGAUCAUCCACAAGCCUGUGACUGUCCAUUCCUGGCUUGAUACCGGAAAACACCUUGGCCUGCCAGAAGGGCAGGCACAUGGGCGUAGUUAAGUGAAAGGCUACAGCCAAUGCCCGAAUGCCAGAGAAGAUCAUGUGGAUGAGGGGAUGAGGAUUCUAUGCCAGCUUCUCAGAAGAUACAUGAAUCUAAGAAGGUUGAUCGCCACAUGUAUCACAGCCUGUACCUGAAGGUGAAGGGGAAUGUGUUCAAAAACAAGCGGAUCCUCAUGGAACACAUCCACAACCUGAAGGCAGACAAGGCCUGCAAGAAGCUCCUGGCUGACCAGGCUGAGACCCGCAGGUCUAAGACCAAGGAAGCACGCAAGCACCGUGAAGAGCACCUCCAGGCCAAGAAGGAGGAGAUCAUCAAGACUUUGGUCUAAGGAGGAAGAGACCAAGAAAUAA
rnacentral:lncRNA from 1 species